rnacentral:rRNA from 1 species
GUUAGCGGCGGACGGGUGAGUAACACGUAGGCAACCUGCCUGUAAGAUCGGGAUAACUACCGGAAACGGUAGCUAAGACCGGAUAGCUGGUUUCUCCGCAUGGGGGAAUCAUGAAACAUGGGGCAACCUAUGGCUUACGGAUGGGCCUGCGGCGCAUUAGCUAGUUGGUGGGGUAAUGGCCCACCAAGGCGACGAUGCGUAGCCGACCUGAGAGGGUGAUCGGCCACACUGGGACUGAGACACGGCCCAGACUCCUACGGGAGGCAGCAGUAGGGAAUCUUCCGCAAUGGGCGCAAGCCUGACGGAGCAACGCCGCGUGAGUGAUGAAGGUUUUCGGAUCGUAAAGCUCUGUUGCCAAGGAAGAACGCCUCGGAGAGUAACUGCUCUGAGGGUGACGGUACUUGAGAAGAAAGCCCCGGCUAACUACGUGCCAGCAGCCGCGGUAAUACGUAGGGGGCAAGCGUUGUCCGGAAUUAUUGGGCGUAAAGCGCGCGCAGGCGGUCUUUUAAGUUUGGUGUUUAAGCCCGGGGCUCAACCCCGGUUCGCACUGAAAACUGGGAGACUUGAGUGCAGGAGAGGAAAGCGGAAUUCCACGUGUAGCGGUGAAAUGCGUAGAGAUGUGGAGGAACACCAGUGGCGAA